AUCAGAAAAAUACUAACAUUUAAUAAAUUAUAAUAUUUAUAGAAAGAACUGUUUUUGUAAGCAAACUGCGCGAUACCAUUGUUAUUAUAUCUUUGGAGCGAACGAACGAACGCCGAAUGAUUCAAGGCGCGGCGAAUGCUCGCAGCGAUCGCGAAUCCAUCACUGUGUCUCGCGAAACAUCCGUACGCAGACACGUACCACUUUAACUGCAGAUUUUUUAAAUAUAAGGUUUACGAACUCGUGAAGUUUUUACACCUCAGAAUCUAAUUAAGUCUGUGUACGUCACCCCGAUAACGGGGAUCCAGUACCGGAUUUCGAUUGCUGCUCCCGGCUCACUCUCCAUAAUCAGGCUUACGGCGGAGGUGAUUGCUGCAUUUUUGUCAUCGGACUACCCUACGAUAUCACAACUUCGUGACCCCAACUUCGUGUCAACGCUUCUCCACGGAUAAAAGGGCAGUGGUUUUGAUUGAGCUUAAGACUGGUGAUUCUUCGCGUUGCAAUUGUUUAUCCACUCCCUGAAGAGUCGUAAUUAAACCUUUUUGUUAAAUUUAAAA